rnacentral:lncRNA from 10 species
CCGGGAUGAGACGCGAAGAGGUUUUGGAGGCGAAAGCCGCCAGUGAGGCUGGAGCAGCUCAGCAGUCAUUGAAAUAGUACCUCCCUGAGAAGUCAACGUGAGGCGGUCAUUGGACCCAGGAAAGUUCCUUGCUAUUGAAAUUAAUUUUAGCAAUUUAUGUCCAAAAUCUGGAAGUUGUCAAGGGAAGGAAUGCAAACUAGAAUGCGAAAUACAAAGCUCUGCCUCAGCGAAACCUCCAAUUUCCUGCUGACGGCCCACAGAACAGAAUAGCAAAUCCUCUCCCUUUCUAUUUUCCAUUCACUGGGGUGGGAGAAUCCACCCUGUGCUCAGCUCCAGAGACUUCCUCAGGGCCACCGCCUGGGGUGCGGAGCGGAGGCCUCAGGCCAGGGAGGAGUGAGGUCACCACCUCCUGCUUAAACACAGCAGGGAUGUGGGCGAGGUGGCGAGUCUGGGGUCCCGGCUACUCAGGAAGCAGGAGCCGCAAGACCGCUGAGCCCGGAGGUCCAGGCCAGCGUGGGCGACAAAGAUGAAGCUUGACUGAAGACCUUGCCUCAAUCAUGACAUUUGUAAGGUUUCUCUCCAGUAUGAGUUCACCCAUGAACUACAGCGUAUGAACGAUGUCUGAAAAAUUUGCCACAUUUACUACACUUGUAAGAUCUCUAUUCAUUAUGGAUUCUUCAAUGAUUUGCAAUGGUUGUAGCGUUACUGAAGACUUGGUGACAAUCAUUACAUUAGUCAAGUUUCCCUACACCAUGGAUUGCCUGAUGGUGAAUAAGUGUUGACUGUGCACGAAAGGCUUUGCCACACUCACUACACUUGAAAGGUUUCUCUCCAGUAUGAAUUCUAGUAUGUUGUGCCAGGUGUGAGUAACACUUGAAAGCCUUGUCACAAACCUUACAUUUGUAUGGUUUCUCUCCAGUGUGAACUCUCUGAUGUUGUGCAAGGUAUGAAUCACGCCCAAAAGCCUUGUCGCAAACCCUACAUUUGUAUGGUUUCUCUCCAGUAUGAACUCUCCUAUGUAUUUCAAGGUGUGAUUUGAUAUUGAAAACUUUGUCACAUUCUUCACAUUUGUAAGGUUUCUCUCCAGUAUGAAGUCUAUGAUGACAUGCAAGUUGUGACUGUGUCCUAAAAACCUUGCCACAUUCAUUACACUUGUAAGGUUUCUCUCCAGUAUGAAGUCUAUGAUGAUAUGCAAGGCUUGAUUUGUGAUUAAAACUUUUGCCACAUUCAUUACACUUGUAACGUUUCUCUCCAGUAUGAAUGACCUUAUGCAUUACAAGAGAUGAAUUUUGAACGAAGGUCUUGCCACACUCAUUACACUUGUAAGGUUUCUCUCCAGUGUGAAUUACAGUAUGUUGUGCCAGGUGUGAAUCACGUCUGAAAGCCUUGUCACAAACCUUACAUUUGUAUGGUUUCUCACCAGUGUGAAUUCUCCUAUGUCUUUCAAGGUGUGAUUUGCGACUGAAAACUUUGUCACAUUCUUUACAUUUGUAAGGUUUCUCUCCAGUAUGAAGUCUAUGAUGACGUGCAAGGUUUGAUUGUUGAUUGAAAACCUUGCCACAUUCAUUACACUUGUAAGGUUUCUCUCCAGUAUGAAUUGUCUUGUGAACUAAGAGGGCUGAAUUUUCACCAAACGUUUUGCCACACUCAUUACACUUGUAAGGUUUCUCUCUAGUGUGAAUUACAAUAUGCUGUGCCAGGUGUGAAUCAUGUCUGAAAGCCUUGUCACAAACCUUACAUUUGUAUGGUUUCUCACCAGUGUGAAUUCUCCUAUGUCUUUCAAGGUAUGAUUUGCGACUGAAAACUUUGUCACAUUCUUUACAUUGGUAAGGUUUCUCUCCAGUAUGAACUCUAUGAUGACGUGCAAGGUUUGAUUGUUGAUUAAAAACCUUGCCACAUUCAUUACACUUGUAAGGUUUCUCUCCAGUAUGAAUUGUCUUGUGAACUAAGAGGGCUGACUUGUCACUGAACGUCUUGCCACACUCAUUACACUUGUAAGGUUUUUCUCCAGUAUGACGUCUAUAAUGACGUGCAAGGUAUGCUUUUUUAUUAAAAACCUUGCCACAUUUAUUACACAUGUAAGGUUUCUCACCAGUGUGACAUCUACGAUGGUGUGCAAGGUAUCGCUUCUGAUUAAAGUCUUUGCCACAUACAUCACAUUUAUAUUGUUUCUCUCCUAGAUGAAUUAUCUGAUGUUUUUUAAAGAGUGAGCUACAAUUAAAGGAUUUGCCACUCUCAUUAAAUUGGAAAGAUUUUUCUUUCCUGUGUACAUCCUGUUUCUGUGUGAGUAAUGAAGAAUGGAAGAAAUUAUUCCCAUAGUUAUUAGAAAUAUGGGUUUUGGGCCUACAAGAAAUUCUUUGGGAUGUUGAAACUGAGGAAGCAUUGUUGAUAGACUUCUCAAGUUGAUUACCAAUUUUCCCUUCGGGCUGAAAUAUGUGCAGUUCAGGCAGAUGUGAAUGAAAGCUUGAUCCAAGCUGAUAUUUAAUAGGCUUGUUUCCAGCAUGCCUUUGAUCAUAUUGGUCUGUACUACCCGUCAACUCUUUGAUUUCUGUCAUGGGUGCUUCAUGGCCAUUUGUUUCAUCUUCUUGCCACUGAAACACAAAGUCAUGAAUGUCUUUCUCAAUUUCCUGGAAGCAACAUUCUCCAAUGUGAUGACUUGCCAGUCUUUGCAAUGUCCCUGUGUGGAUCACUUCUGUAUUGCCUUUCCCUAUUGAUGAGAACUCCAUCAUGCAUUUGGAAGAGAUAUCUACAAAAUAUAAACGCCAAUAGUUUUCCAAUUCAGUACAGAUAAUAUAUAAUACUGAAACGUGUAAAUAUGACACCAAAAACAAUACUUAUUUUAAACAUCUCAAACAUGAGCUUCAAAGUUCAGGAACACAAAAGGAGGAAGAUCCUUUAAUAAAUGAAGGGCGAUUACAUGUACUUCAG